rnacentral:tRNA from 1 species
GGGCGGUUAGCUCAGUUGGUUAGAGCACCUCCUUUACAAGGAGGGGGUCGUUGGUUCGAGUCCAAUACUGCCCACAA